GAACUGAACUGGAAACUAAAUUCUCAGGCUGAGAUUCUGGGUCCGGGAGAAGCCAACUCCAAGAGGGAGGGCCCCUGGGGCACCUUACACUCUGGGAGUACAGAGCCAAGAUAAUAGUUUGUGCUUGGAACAGUGCCAGGAAUGUGG